GGAAUGCCACCCGGUGAACUCCAUCACACCAGCAAAACCAAGGACAAGGCAGAAAAACUGUGAUGGUCUCCUGGAAUCGGUUCCUGAACGGCAAAUCGGUCUUUAAAUGAGUUUCAAAUACUGACCCACGAAAAGCAGUGAAUUGCAGAUAUAAUAUUCUGCUUUCAAGCAGGGAAUUCAACUCCUUCCAUGAAGGAGAAUAAAACAUUGCUGUGGCUAUCAAGGUGACACGAUCCUGAAACUUGUUGCUUCAAUCCACGAUGUGUAGACUUAAUCACAACUGCAAACUCUUCAUACUGGUGAUCCACUCCAUUAUUGACACCUCCUGCCAACAACAGUGGCCUGCCCAUAAAAGCCCUGCAGACAGGGAAGACAGGGUCUGACCCCUUGGGCAAUGCUGCAGAAUACCUUGCCAUUAAGUCCCAUUUAUUGUGUCUUUGCUUGUCGGUGCUGGCAGCAUUACUGCCCUUACCAGGAUCAUUCGGAG